UUUGAGACAUGUAUGAUGUAUUGACUCAGGCUAUGUGGAGGUUUUCCCUUGCAUUUUAAUUUUUAUCUUUGGAAAUCUCAUACUUUGAGCAAAAUUAAUGGCCGCGAAACUUCAAUUGAGGAUUUCUACUCUGCCGUUACAUGGGAUGAAAUUUAUGAGACAUUUUACCACAGUAUAAUGGGACCAGAGACACGGAGAAUCCACAAAGUCAUGUGGAGUCCUUUAUGAGAUCAGAGAAAAAUAGCUAGAGAUGGAACUGAAUCUUGGAGCUAACCUGUGCGGUUAACCUAUGCCGAAAAUAUAGAGCAAAGCCUGAAACCUACAUCCUUGACUCUACAAGGCCCACAUAUAUCUGUAUUGUGCAUUGAGAACGGAGAGCUCUGAACCACUGCACAUCUCCCAGAAGUUCCAAGAAAGAAAUACUAGCAACAUUAACUCUGCUGUGUAUGGUUCUACCUUUUUUUUUUUUAACCACAGUCCUUU
rnacentral:lncRNA from 1 species